GCUGGGCGUGGUGGGGUGCGCCUGUAGUCCCAGGUACUCGGGAGGCUGAGGCAGGAGAAUCGCUUGAGCCCAGGAGGCAGAGGUUGCAGUGAGUCGAGACUGUGCCACUGCACUCCAGCCUGGGCGAUAGAGUGAGACUCUGUCUCAA
rfam:Gorilla gorilla gorilla genomic chromosome, chr19, whole genome shotgun sequence